rnacentral:rRNA from 1 species
AUUGAACGCUGGCGGCAUGCCUUACACAUGCAAGUCGAACGGUAACAGGUUAAGCUGACGAGUGGCGAACGGGUGAGUAAUGUAUCGGAACGUGCCCAGUCGUGGGGGAUAACUGCUCGAAAGAGCAGCUAAUACCGCAUACGACCUGAGGGUGAAAGCGGGGGAUCGCAAGACCUCGCGCGAUUGGAGCGGCCGAUAUCCGAUUAGGUAGUUGGUGAGGUAAAGGCUCACCAAGCCGACGAUCUGUAGCUGGUCUGAGAGGACGACCAGCCACACUGGGACUGAGACACGGCCCAGACUCCUACGGGAGGCAGCAGUGGGGAAUUUUGGACAAUGGGCGCAAGCCUGAUCCAGCCAUGCCGCGUGCGAGAAGAAGGCCUUCGGGUUGUAAACCGCUUUUGUCAGGGAAGAAAAGGUUCUGGCUAAUACCUGGGACUCAUGACGGUACCUGAAGAAUAAGCACCGGCUAACUACGUG